UUUACAGUUUAACUCCAUCUUUUCUCCCCUUCUGAUGUGGGACUCUAGUGCUCCCAGGUAACUGUUCUACCCAACUCUCCACUGUGAGGAAAUGAACCUCAGACAGUAGGGAUGGCAAGGAAUAUGAGGAAGUAGACUCAAAGAUAGAAUUUAAGUCCCAUGUAGCAUGUAGUUUCUACUAACCCAAGAUGGUAGCAGCCAAUGGCUGGGCGGAAGAGGCAGAACUUCUAGGUUCCCACAGGCAGGCAAGGAGAUGCAGAAGAGGAAAGGGAUUCGACGUGCUUAGGAGGGAGAGAGAGAGAGCCACUGGCCGCCAUGCGAGAUAUCGGGUGGAGUGACCAUUGACUGCUAGUAUCUUUAUUGCUCGAUCAAGAACCAAUUGGGGAAGAGGACCUUCAGCGUUCACAGGCUGAUACCCAGACAAAGCAUCAGAACCACUGCCUAGAGUCCCACACCCAUCAAACAGACCUUGUCCAUGAAGAUGGAGCUCUGGUUCCUGCCCAGACAGCGAUGGGAGCAGGAUAUGGUCAAGAGUAGCUGGGAAGGCACAAGCUGUUCUAAAAUCUCCAACCAGGCCACAGAGCUGGAAGAGGAGAAAGCUCUGUGCCGUAUCGUUCUCAAGAACAAAUUCUUUCCCUCCUGGCUGCUGAGUUUUACCUUGGAUAGCUUUUCUGCUUGGGUUUCAGGAUUCAGUCUGUUCCUGCCUGGGCCCUGAGAGCUCCUUUCUUGUGAGUUUCCCUGGUGCUCGGUGUGAAUCACACAUGGAGGCUCGUUUUAGUCAGUCUCUAUUCAUCAGGUUUUUACGUCCCCAUUUCUUGCCGCUGUCUUGAAUGCUGUGGAACACGUGGGAGGUGGAGCAUAACUGGUAGAAGCAUCACAUUAAGCCUAUGAAGGUCAUGCCACCCUUGGUUCCUCUCCAUUCUCUACCUGCCACCUCAGGAUCCCACUGCUGUGGCUUGGAACCAUUGCUACCCACCAUGCCUUGCUCCACAGUGAAGGACUGAGUUCUCUCUGAAACUGUGAGCCAAAAUAAAUCUUUGCUCUUCUGACAGUUGAUCAUCAUUGUCAAAGUGACUGGAUUUAGAAUCUCUGUGGAAAAGAUACCUCUGGGUGUGUCUACAGGGAUGCUUCCAGACGGCUUUAACAGAAGCAGGAACCUGA